UACGUAGGGUGCGAGCGUUAAUCGGAAUUACUGGGCGUAAAGCGUGCGCAGGCGGUUGGGCAAGACAGAUGUGAAAUCCCCGGGCUCAACCUGGGAAUUGCAUUUGUGACUGCACGGCUAGAGUGUGUCAGAGGGGGGUAGAAUUCCACGUGUAGCAGUGAAAUGCGUAGAGAUGUGGAGGAAUACCGAUGGCGAAGGCAGCCCCCUGGGAUAACACUGACGCUCAUGCACGAAAGCGUGGGGAGCAAACAGG
rnacentral:rRNA from 1 species